CGACUUGGAGGUUGUUCCCUUGAGGAGUAGCUUCCGGAGCUAACGCGUUAAGUCGACCGCCUGGGGAGUACGGCCGCAAGGUUAAAACUCAAAUGAAUUGACGGGGGCCCGCACAAGCGGUGGAGCAUGUGGUUUAAUUCGAUGCAACGCGAAGAACCUUACCUACUCUUGACAUCCAGAGAACUUUCCAGAGAUGGAUUGGUGCCUUCGGGAACUCUGAGACAGGUGCUGCAUGGCUGUCGUCAGCUCGUGUUGUGAAAUGUUGGGUUAAGUCCCGCAACGAGCGCAACCCUUAUCCUUUGUUGCCAGCGAUUCGGUCGGGAACUCGAAGGAGACUGCCGGUGAUAAACCGGAGGAAGGUGGGGAUGACGUCAAGUCAUCAUGGCCCUUACGAGUAGGGCUACACACGUGCUACAAUGGCGCAUACAAAGAGAAGCGACCUCGCGAGAGCAAGCGGACCUCACAAAGUGCGUCGUAGUCCGGAUCGGAGUCUGCAACUCGACUCCGUGAAGUCGGAAUCGCUAGUAAUCGUGGAUCAGAAUGCCACGGUGAAUACGUUCCCGGGCCUUGUACACACCGCCCGUCACACCAUGGGAGUGGGUUGCAAAAGAAGUAGGUAGCUUAACCUUCGGGAGGGCGCUUACCACUUUGUGACCGAUGACUGGGGUGAAGUCGUAACAAGGUAAC
rnacentral:rRNA from 1 species